GAUUUUUAGACUAUGGCAGACUCGAGACAGGGAUACAUAAUGUAGUUAGUGUCGGUUAGAACCAGCCGCCCACCCGGGUAGCCCAGUUGGUUAGAGCGCCAUGCUAGUGUUCCGGCGGUCGUGGGUUCGAGCCCCACACCGGGCGCACUUUUCCUCCCAGGAGAUAAACAGAAACACAGAGGUGCUAUACUUUCUGAUGGAAAAGACAACAAAAGCAUCUCCCAUCAUUUUGGCGUGGCUCAGAUCAAGAGGAGAAAUUUAAAAAAGGUGAUGGUUGGGCACAAACAAGAAGACAUAGAUCACAGGCGUAUAGCAUAUGAGUAGACAGGAGUUUCACACUCUGCCAGACUUACUUCCUCAGACGAGCAGAUUUAGGCUUCUCAAGAUCACGCACUGCACACUAAGACAUAGUCUUUGACUACAACAAGGUCUUAGGGGAUGAAAGUACAGAGAGGUCCAAUUGAAAUCAAUUCUGUGCUGCGUCAUUUCUUUAUUCUAGAGGUUGAUGGACAUGAUUUAUGGCAUCAAGUGUGCAGUUUGUCAACUAACUAUCAACACAGCAGUCUUGUUCACCAGCUGCUCAACUUGAGCUUUUAGCUUUAUUGCUU